rnacentral:tRNA from 1 species
AGGGACUUAGGUUACAUCAAACCAAGAGCCUUCAAAGCUCUAAACAGAGACACAAACCACUAGCCCCUG